AGAGACCUCAAGCGUUAUCCGGAAUCAUUGGGCGUAAAGCGUACCGAUCGGUGGUUAAGAUAGUCAGAUGUGAAAUCUCCGAGCUCAACUCGGAAUCUGUCAUUUGAAACUUCUUGACUAGAGGGGCAAAGAGGAAGCUGGAACAAACGGUGUAGUAGUGAAAUGCGUUGAUAUCGUUUGGAACACCAAUAGCGAAGGCAGGCUUCUGGGUGCCACCUGACACUGCUAGGACGAAAGCGUGGGGAGCGAAUGGGAUUAGAUACCCCAGUAGUCCACGCUGUAAACGAUGCACAUUAGGUGCUAGAGAGUAUCGACCCUCUUUAGUGCCAAAGCUAACGCGUUAAAUGUGCCGCCUGGGGAGUACGGCCGCAAGGCUA
rnacentral:rRNA from 1 species